rnacentral:rRNA from 1 species
AGUGAACGCUGGCGGUAGGCCUAACACAUGCAAGUCGAACGGCAGCACAGUAAGAGCUUGCUCUUACGGGUGGCGAGUGGCGGACGGGUGAGGAAUACAUCGGAAUCUACUUUUUCGUGGGGGAUAACGUAGGGAAACUUACGCUAAUACCGCAUACGACCUACGUGUGAAAUCAUGGGAUCUUCGGACCUUGCGCGAUUGAAUGAGCCGAUGUCGGAUUAGCUAGUUGGCGGGGUAAAGGCCCACCAAGGCGACGAUCCGUAGCUGGUCUGAGAGGAUGAUCAGCCACACUGGAACUGAGACACGGUCCAGACUCCUACGGGAGGCAGCAGUGGGGAAUAUUGGACAAUGGGCGCAAGCCUGAUCCAGCCAUACUGCGUGGGUGAAGAAGGCCUUCGGGUUGUAAAGCCCUUUUGUUGGGAAAGAAAAGCAGCAGGUUAAUACCCCGCUGUUCUGACGGUACCCAAAGAAUAAGCACCGGCUAACUUCGUG